rnacentral:misc_RNA from 1 species
GAUGAAGAACGCAGCGAAAUGCGAUAAGUAAUAUGAAUUGCAGAAUUCAGUGAAUCAUCGAAUCUUUGAACGCACAUUGCGCCCCCUGGUAUUCCGGGGGGCAUGCCUGUUCGAGCGUCAUUUCACCACUCAAGCCUCGCUUGGUAUUGGGCAACGCGGUCCGCCGCGUGCCUCAAAUCGUCCGGCUGGGUCUUCUGUCCCCUAAGCGUUGUGGAAACUAUUCGCUAAAGGGUGUUCGGGAGGCUACGCCGUAAAACAACCCCAUUUCUAAGGUUGACCUCGGAUCAGGUAGGGAUACCCGCUGAACUUAAGCAUAUCAAUAAGCGGAGGA